GCCAUGCUUUUACCACAGUAACUUUAGAUCUACUGUGUUAUUUGUAGUUAAAACAAUACGCAUUGAAUUUACCAUGCUUUUUAAGAUAAAGCAUGUAUGUUGCAUUGUUGCUUUGUUUUAAAGGCGGAGUCCAUGAUGUUUGAAAGCCAAUGUUGAUAUUUGAAAUCACCUAAACAAACACGCCCCUACCCCAAUAGAAUCUGGACCUUCUGUUGAUGGACCCGCCCCACACAUACGCAAACCGGCAUUUGAUUUGAUUUGAUUGGCUAUAAGUGUGUUUUGGUAGUCGGCCCGUCUCCUUUUCCAACGCGUUUUUCAAACAUCGUGGACUCCUCCUUUAAUGCCAUCAAAAAUUGAAUUUCUUGCACUCUGCGGCUCCAGAGUGCGAGUGAAAUGAUUAUAUUAGCAUCAGGCAGAGGAAGCAACCGACAAACAGGUUAACCUCAAAAUCAUCAUUAAAUCAUUUUCCGACUUCUAACAAAUUUCAACCCUGGAUAGCAUUAAUCUCAAAAGUUCAUACAUUUGUGCAAAAUAUACUUUGAUCAUUCACUUGUAUGUAUCAUACAUAAAUGCAUUUAUAUAACAUUUUAAGAUAAAGUCUUAAACUGUACAGAUUAUGACAAAUAACAUUUGUUUUUUAAGAUGGAAAAGAGAGAAGACAAACUUCACCGAAAGAUUUUGGAGGAAAAGGCCAAAUUCGUUGUGACUAUAGAUGAGUACAACAGGGCAGCACCUGAAAAACUGCAGUCAGCUGAUACAAUUCUGGCAUCUGGGAGUUACGCAUGGCCAUGGGUAUGGAAUGAGCAUGGACGGUGAUCACCAAUCCUGAUCAUGGGGGCCGGUGUCUCUGCAGAUUUUAAAUGAAACCUCUGCUAAUUAGUCAUGACUGCUGCUUCCUACUGACCAGGACUGUGGGCUCUCUGACAGUGGAGUUCUAGGACUUCACUUCCUGCUAAAGAAAGACAAUACUACAUCAUCUCCUCUGUUCGCCAGUUGUACUGUACUGUGCUUGACAACUUUUCUGAGCUGUUUGGGAACAUAAAAGAUGAUGAUUACCUAGUGAAAUUCACAUGGAUGAGGAGGAUAUCCACUAUUGUGGUGGUGGUGAUGAUGAUGAGGAGGAUGAGUAUGAAAAGUCAUUGUUUCCUCAGUCAGUAUAAAGUGUACACUCAAGUCCGAUUUUAAAGACAAGGUCAAGGUUAAACCAGAAUUAUGCCUUAGCUAAAAUUGGACAUUUACACUACUUUUAAAAAUGUGACUUACAAAUAAACUUACUGAUGUGCAUCUUGAGACAAAAUGAUGGCGCCGAUAUAUUUUAUGAUAUGCCAGUAAAAGUUGUUUUGGUUAAGACAUCUCAAAUAUAAAUUUUAGUUUGGGACUAGGCUUAGACCUUGUGAUCGAGUGAAGUUGCAAUUCACUAGUGUAGUGGAUGAAAACUUGUUUAGAAUGAUAAACAUUUGUUUGUCUCCUAAUAGUUAAAUAGUUCAUCUUAUUUCCCCACGUCCCAAGUUACCUUAUGUCAUCUAUGUGAUUCUAUCUGUAUUUUAUCUUGUGUAUAUUACUGAAACUGCCAGUUGACCUUUUUGUCUUUAAUAUUUAGCAAUAACCAAUGAAAUAGUAAGCAUCAUAUAUAUAGACUGUCUUGUUUAGUUAAUUAAACAAGACUGUAUAUGCUGUGAUGUUUAUCUUAGUAAUGUUUUACAUUGUUUACAUUUACAUUACAAAUGUGUUGUGAAAAUAUGUAAUUUUAUAUUGUUUGUCCAAUCAUUUUUAUAAUACAUAUUGUAAUACGUUGCUGAUAUUAUUAGUGCUAUUAUUACUGAUGUAACAUUUAUGACUCUUUGGACAGUGUUAUACCAAAAUGCCUUCAUUGUUAUUCAUAAAGUGACAAAUAAAAUUGACCAAAUUCAUGUGAAAACAACUUUCUGUUCCCUUUCAGUCGGUCACUACGACGUCACGUCGUGACCGACGA